rnacentral:lncRNA from 1 species
ACAUUCACCACCGCGUGACGCGGCGCCGGGUCGCCGCCGCAGAUUCGACACAAAACCCGGAAGGACCCCGCCGAAGGUUUUCUCCGGUUCGGGAGAGAGACGGAGUCCCGCUCUGUCACGCAGGCUGCCAGGCUGGCGUACAGUGGCGCAAUCUCAGCUCGCUGCAACCUCCACCUCCUGGGUUCAAGCGAUUUUCUUGCCUCUGCCUCCUGAGUAGCUGGGAUUACUGGCACACACCACCAUGCACAGGGAGAUAUGAGACAUCAAUCAAUAUAUGUAAGAUGUACAUCAGUUUCGUCUGGAAAGAUGGGACAACAUGAAGCAGGGAGGGGGCUCCCUGGUGACAGUUCCUUGUUCAAAAUGCCAAGAACCUGGAUGACUCAUAGUCAAGACCCUCCACCAGUAACAUAUAUUGGCGAGCCAGCCAGGAGCGAAUGGGUCUCAUGAGAUCUGAUGGUUUUGAAAAUGGGAGUUGCCCUGCACAAGCUCUCCUUUUGCCUGCUGCCAUCCACAUAAGAUGUGAUUUGCUCUUCCUUGCCUUCCACCAUGAUUGUGAGGCCUUCCCAGCAUGUGGAAAUGGUCCAGCCUGCAAUAACUGAAGCCCCCAGACCUGGAACCUGAAGAUCCCAUCAGCCACUAAACCUGUGAACCUGUAGAAGACCUGAAGUACCUGUUUAAAAGGCAGCCAAAAGAUAAGUAAAUUCCUAUCAACUUUCCUUGGUGUCCUUCUUGUAUAUUUACUGUAAGCUGGAUAUAAUAGUAGCCAUUUUUAUAUUUUUACAAUUUAAUUGCUUUCUUCCAAAUGGAUUGAAUCACUUCUUUUAAAGUGUUUUAAUUAAUUUUUAUCUAUAGAACAAAAUAACAAAUAAGUAUUUUUUUUUUAUACCAUAAUGGUCACCCACAGCCUGUGUAUACUAAGACCAUGCAUACUGAUAAUCAGCUUUAUUUUACAAAAGAGUUUCGCUUUACCCCUCUGGUAAUUAAUGGAUUCUGGGUAUUUAUUAAAAACUUUAACACAAAGACUGUUAAAUACCACCAGUCCAGCUUUGGCAAGGCACUGUUGGCUUUGUUUAUCUCCAUCAUCAUCCAAACAGACUACCAAUCCUGAUCCCAGCCCAAUCUUGGGCCCUUGAAAAAAUAACUUAACAUCCUAACUACAAGGGAGAAACUCCUUUCAAAUUAAUGAACCUGGCUGACUUAUAUAGCCUUAAAAUUAUGGAAAUGACAAGGGUUACAAUGUCAGAAUGAGCAGUAAACCUUCCCCAGUCCUAUCAGAGCAAACUUUCUGGGGUUGCAUCCCCUCAGAAACCCAUUUGGGGCCCAAUCUCAAUGCACAUAUCAGUGCGCAAAGCACUAAAAUUCCAGGCAACACUUUGUAUUGAGAGAAGCCAAAAUUUUGGUCCCGCCCUGGGACAUCUAAAGUCACCAAUGUAACUACACCAUACAGAUUAAACCCUCACAUGAUCAUGUAAGCUAUGCAGUUACCCAAGCUGCAUCAUUUAGAAAACCUGUACAGUUUUUAUGGAAACCAUCCCUAGUCAAGGACACUUUAAAUAUAUAGUCUAAAUACCGUUAAGGUAGGCCCACUAGCUGUGUUCACAUUUUCCCUUGGCCACCUUACCAGGGACUUUAAUAACUUGGGAAAGUGAAAACAACAAGCUAACCCACAUGUUCACCAUAGAAAACAAUUUUGUCUUGAAAAACAAGGACUCUUUUUCCCGUGUGGGACCAGUUCCUACUUAUGUUUUACCAGCCAAUUGGACUGGAACCUAUACAGUUGUUUAUUUAGCCCCCGAAAUUAAUAUAGCUCCCAACAACCAAUCCUUCAUUAUACUUUUAACUGCAACCACCAGACACAAAUGAGCCAUCCAACUGAUACCACUUUCGGUAGAGCUAGGAAUAACAGCAGGAGUAGGAAUGAGAGUUAGCAGCCUUGCAGUUUCCCUAUCCUAUUACCAAUGCUUGUCCAAGGAUUUUAUGGAAAGCUUAGGUGACAUUGCCCAAAAGUAUCAUCACCUUACAAAAUCAGAUAGAGUCUUUGGCAGUGGUGGCUUUGUAAAAUAGAAGGGGACUGGAUCUCCUAAAUGCUGAAGAAGGUGGCUUAUGUCUUUUUCCUAGAGGAAGAAUGCUGUUUUUAUGUCAACCAAACAGGAUUAGUAAGGGAUGCCACCCAAAAACUAGCCGAUUGGUACCAUAAGAUAUGACAACAGCUGUCUGAGUCAUGGGGCGCCUAGUCAAAAUGCUAAUUUGGGGCUCACAUCUCCUUCCUCUGGCCAGUCCACUAUUAAUUAUUAUACUUGCCUUGGCUUUUGGAUCAUGUUUGUUAAAUCUUUUAACCAGAUUUAUUUCUUCUUGCCUAGAGACCAUUAUGAUAAUGCAGCAGGGCCACCAGUCAGUUUCAGAUAAUGAUGUCAACCCCGGCCACCAAGAAGUAACCUUGUCUCCACUAGACAGAGCAGGGUGAGAGUUCUGUAAUCCCCAGUAGGUAGGGACUGUGCCCCAAGUCAGCAUGAAGUAGUUAUGGAAGAAAGACCAUGGGUCCCUCUGCCUCCCAGAAAGAUUUAUGGGGAUCACAUCUCUCAGGGGAAAAUGAGGCAGGAGAAUAGGGUCUGGAGACAGGGAACCUAAAGCUGAUUUGUGCUGAGUUUCUAGGAUUGAAUGAAAAGGAAAACCCCACCUCUCCACACCCAAGUAACAAAAGGAUCAGAGGCUACUCCCUUUGCACUGCAUUGCAGAUAAAAAAUGGAAAGUACCUCAGAUUGGUCCCCUCCCACAACCAAUCAGACUGGCCAUGGGCUACUCCUUCGUUUACAUAGGGUGUAACCAAGUAACCAAUGGGAAACCUCUAGCGGGUAUGUAAACCCCAGAAAAUUCUGUAACCAGUGCUCUUGAGCUGCUUGCUGGAGCCUACUCCCACUUUGUGAAGUGUACUUUCAUUUCAAUAAAUUUGUGCUUUCAUUGCUUCAUUCCUUCGUUGCUUUGUGUGUUUUGUCCAAUUCUUUGUUCAAAACACCAAGAACCUGGAUGACUCAUAGUCAAGAUCCUCUACCAGUAACACUUGAACUUUCUGGUUUGUCCUGAACAUCCCUCUUUCUUAAACAACCAGUCGUUUUAUUCUAGGCCAAAAUUUUACCAUACAAGAAUAUUUCUCAUAUACAAUUAUCUUCCUUCUAACUUUUCUUGCCAGAAAUACCUUUUAUAACUUUCUUUACAUUGCUUUUAUUUAACGAUUACUUUUACCUUGUUUCAUAAGUUUUAAAUAGCCUUGAAUUAGAUAAAAAAUUAUUUUCCUUUAAAUAAGAACACAUUUCUUUUUUUAGAAAAAUAUUUUUCUGUAAUUUUUUUUUUUUCUUGAGACAGAGUCUUGCUCUGUCACCCAGGCUGGAGUGCAGUGGCACAAUCUUGGCUCACUGCAAGUUCUGCCUCCCGGGUUCACGCCAUCCUCCUGCCUCAGCCUCCAGGGUAGCUGGGACUAGAGGUGCACACCACCACGCCUGGCUAAUUUUUUGUAUUUUUAGUAGAGACGGGGUUUCACUGUGUUAGCCAGGAUGAUCUCGAUCUCCUGACUAUGAUCUGUCUGCCUCAGCCUCCCAAAGUGCUGGGAUUACAGGUGUGAGCCACUGCACCUGGCCUAAUAUUUUAAAUUGGAAAUGACCCAGAUGUUUAAUGAGUACCUAUUAUUUAACUUAAUAUAAUUUUAGAUUCUAAAUUAUAUAACAAGUUUAAUCACAAGCAUUUAUUCCAUUACAUUUACCUAAUUAAUUUUUUUAAUAGUUU